GGGCGAGUGGCGCAGGGGUUAGCGCAGCAGUUUUACACACUGUUGGUCGGGGGUUCAAAUCCCUCCUCGCCCACCA
rnacentral:tRNA from 1 species